rnacentral:misc_RNA from 1 species
GAUGAAGAACGUAGCGUAAUGCGAUAAGUAGUGUGAAUUGCAGAAUUCAGUGAAUCAUCGAAUCUUUGAACGCACAUUGCGCCCCUCGGUAUUCCGUGGGGCAUGCCUGUUCGAGCGUCAUUUAACCCCUCAAGCCUAGCUUGGUAUUGGGUGCUUGUCCCGCCUCUCGCGCGGCGACUCACCUCAAAGUCAUUGGCAGCCCGCAUCUCGCCGGCCGUGAGCGCAGCACAGACGCGCUCUUGGCAACGACGGAUCGGCUCUCCAAAAGCUUAUUUCAACCACUGACCUCGGAUCAGGUAGGGAUACCCGCUGAACUUAAGCAUAUCAAUAAGCGGAGGA